UACGAAGGGGGCUAGCGUUGCUCGGAAUUACUGGGCGUAAAGGGCGCGUAGGCGGAUAUUUAAGUUGGGGGUGAAAUCCCGGGGCUCAACCUCGGAAUUGCCUUCAAAACUGGAUAUCUUGAGUUCGGGAGAGGUGAGUGGAACUCCGAGUGUAGAGGUGAAAUUCGUAGAUAUUCGGAAGAACACCAGUGGCGAAGGCGACUCACUGGCCCGUAACUGACGCUGAGGUGCGAAAGCGUGGGGAGCAAACAGG
rnacentral:rRNA from 1 species